CAUGAUUAUUUGAUGCACAGAAGUCAUUGUAACGUGUGUUUCUCUGUCUGUAGUGACUCGUGUGAUCAGGGUGAUGUGGAUGCAAACGCAGACAUGUCAUGUGGCGGGUUCAAUCACUCUCAUGUCACUCCAAACACAUCUCUGGGUUACGCUCAUGCCACACCGUCCCGUGCUCUCCCUUCCCCCACUGUCAACACGCGUGAGGCUUUGGGUGUGAUCAUGGACAUGUUUCAGGCUCCCACCCUCCUCCAGGAGUCCAUGUUCAACAGCACUGUUCAGCCGGAGGACAGCUUUGAGAAGAGCUGCAGAAUCAGUAUGUCCCACACACACAAGCUCCAGCCUUGUACCUGCGCAUA
rnacentral:lncRNA from 1 species